rnacentral:rRNA from 1 species
CGCGUAGGCGGGAUUUUAAGUCAGGUGUGAAAACUCUGGGCUCAACCUGGAGAUUGCACUUGAGACUGGAAUUCUUGAGGACAGGAGAGGAAAGUGGAAUUCCUAGUGUAGCGGUGAAAUGCGUAGAUAUUAGGAGGAACACCAGUGGCGAAGGCGACUUUCUGGACUGUAACUGACGCUGAGGCGCGAAAGCGUGGGGAGUGAACGG